CUGAAAUUAAUCAAUCAGACCGAUUUGGGUUUAGCGAUUUUGAUCUGCUGGCUUUUUUUUGCCGCUCUGGUUCGCCGGUUUCGUCUCUUCUUUCUUGUCUGGUUUGCGAUCUUCGGUGUCUCCCUCUGUCUGUGCUCUGCUCUGCUCUCUUUCAGGGGAAUCUCUCUCAACCGAUCUUCUCUUCCUAUACUGACUUCAGAUCCUCAUCUCAAUCACUCUAUAUUAAUUAUCUCUGUUACUGGACCGGACAUAAGCUGAGUUACAUGAUGCUACUAGUACUAGUUGGACAACAGAGAGAAUGCCUUGAAUGAAACACUGAGAAAUGAAGUUUUGGGGAGGCUUUUUUGUGAUCGUUGGUUCCAUUUCCUUUGUUGGAUUUGUGUUUGCGGCUAUAGUCUCCAAAUUGUUUCCACUCUCUCACAAUCCCAUUAUCCAAGCUAUUCAGAAUGACAGGUACUACUGCUUCUUGGCUCCACUGACUUUACCAGCUCUACUGGUUGCUGUUUACUUUCAUUGGCUUAGCAUGAAGCUCUUCAAGCACGCAUGAUACACAUCCCCACGUAGCAAACAUCUUUCUCCAAGGUCCAUAUGAUGUCUUUGCAGAGGGAACAAUAACAUCUGGUCCGAAGCAUUCUUCUGAGGCUGGCCGAUCACAUUUGUUUUGUCACAUCUCAUGGUUGGAAAGGAAUUGUGGAUUUUCUGGAGAUGAGUUUUGUGUAGAAUGGUUAUAAGCACGGUUCGAUUACUACAUUGUUGCAUUCAAUAUUGUAACCCGGGAUAAUUUGUGUGCUAUACUUGCUAUUAUUAUCUAUCUUUAGAAAGCAGAUUGUAACCAACUUCACUGACAAUGUAAUCACAUAUUCAUGUUAUAAAGUCACUUUCACAUUGCCAUCAAA